GUGGUCUUUCAUCAACUGGUGUAACUACCCCUCCCUGGCUAGACACACUGGAAUGCGAUGUUGCCUUUGUCAUGGUUGGGCGACAGAAUGCCUGCAAGCAUUACCAGGAAACGCAAUGUACAAAAAUGAUAAACUUAAGGAGGAUAUAUCUCUUUCCAAGACAGCGGUGGACAUUUUCAGCGUCAGCCGCUAAACUGUACUGUAAGUUCUUCCUAACAAAUAAAAACUAAGACAGCA